rnacentral:rRNA from 1 species
UACAGAGGGGGCAAGCGUUAUUCGGAAUUAUUGGGCGUAAAGGGCGCGUAGGCGGCCUGGCAAGUGGAAGGUGAAAUCCCUCGGCUUAACCGAGGAACUGCCCUCCAAACUGCUUGGCUUGAGUCCGGGAGAGGUGAGUGGAAUUCCCAGUGUAGCGGUGAAAUGCGUAGAUAUUGGGAAGAACACCGGUGGCGAAGGCGGCUCACUGGCCCGAAACUGACGCUCAUGCACGACAGCGUGGGGAUCAAACAGG